rnacentral:rRNA from 1 species
AAGCUCGUAGUUGAAUUUCGGGAUCAAAUUGUCGGUCGUGCCUCGGUACGUACUGGCGUUAUUGGUUCCUCCCUUCUGAAGAACCACGAUGUCAUUAAUUUGGUGUCGCGGGGAAUCAGGACUGUUACUUUGAAAAAAUUAGAGUGUUUAAAGCAGGCUCGCGCUUGAAUACAUUAGCAUGGAAUAAUGAAAUAGGACGUUUGAUUCUAUUUUGUUGGUUUCUAGGAUCGACGUAAUGAUAAAUAGGGAUAGUUGGGGGCAUUAGUAUUCAAUUGUCAGAGGUGAAAUUCUUGGAUUUAUUGAAGACUAACUACUGCGAAAGCAUUUGCCAAGGAUGUUUUCAUUAAUCAAGAACGAAAGUUAGGGGAUCGAAGACGAUCAGAUACCGACGUAGUCUUAACCAUAAACUAUGCCGACUAGGGAUCGGAUGAUGUUAAUUUUUUAAUGACUCAUUCGGCGCCUUACGGGAAACCAAAGUGUUUGGGUUCCGGGGGGAGUAUGGUCGCAAGGCUGAAACUUAAAGGAAUUGACGGAAGGGCACCACCAGGGGUGGAGCCUGCGGCUUAAUUUGACUCAACACGGGGAAACUCACCAGGUCCAGACAUAGUAAGGAUUGACAGAUUGAGAGCUCUUUCUUGAUUCUAUGGGUG